ensembl:lncRNA
AGGCUAUGGUUUUUCCUGUGGUCAUGUAUGGAUGUGAAAGUUGGACUAUAAAGAAAGAUGAGCACCAAAGAAUUGAUGCUUUUGAACUGUGGUGUUGGAGAAGACUCUUGAGAGUCCCUUGGACUGCAAGGAGGUCUAACCCUUCCAUCCUAAAAGAGAUCAGUCCUGUGUGUUCAUUGGAAGGCUUGAUGCUGAAGCUGACAUUCCAAUACUUUGGCCACCUGAUGAGAAGAACUGACUCAUUUGAAAAGACCCUGAUGCUGGGAAAGAUUGAGGGCAGGAGGAGAAGGGGACGACAGAGGAUGAGAUGGUUGGAUAACAUCACCGACUCAAUGGACAUGAGUUUGGGUGGACUCCAAGAGUUGGUGAUGGACAGGGAGGCCUGACAUGCUGCUGUUCAUGAAGUCACAAAGAGUUGGACAUGACUGAGCAACUGAACUGAACUGAACCAGAUGUGGAGUCAAGGACCACUUUUCUUUCCAUAACACUGCACUCCCUAUUUGAAGGAUCUGUUGCAUACCUCUGUUUGGAUUUGCCAUCACCCAGCUCAGCAUUUCAUAGAAGGAUCUGCACAAUAAUUAUAGCCUAAUGGUGCUGGCUCUUGAGUAUUUUAUCUGAUCAUCUUGGAAGAAAGGGGAAAGACAGCCAUCAUAUAGCAAGCACUUCCUGGGUACACAGCUCAGUGCUCUUUAUGUGUUAUUUCAGAAUUCUCAGAGAGACCCAUGGGUUGACUCGGUUGCCCUUAUUUUACAGAGGCAGAAGGUGAGACUCAAAGGUGACACCCGUGGCAAUCCUGGGGAUCAAGCCUGAUUCUGUCCUACCGUGCUGGCCUCUUCCUAGAAGGAAGUCUUGUGUGAAUGAGUAUGGAAGGUGACCCAAGGUGGGGGCAGGCUCUCAUUGUGUGUUCAGUCGUUCAGUCGUGUCCGACUCUCUGUGACCCCAUGGGCUAUAGCCGCCAGGCUCCUCUGUCCAUGGGAUUCUCCAGGCAAGAGUACUGGAG